CCUACGGGAGGCAGCAGUGGGGAAUAUUGCACAAUGGGGGAAACCCUGAUGCAGCGACGCCGCGUGAAGGAAGAAGGCUUUCGGGUUGUAAACUUCUUUUCUCAGGGACGAAGAAAGUGACGGUACCUGAGGAAUAAGCCACGGCUAACUACGUGACAGCAGCCGCGGUAAUACGUAGGUGGCAAGCGUUAUCCGGAUUUACUGGGUGUAAAGGGCGUGUAGGCGGGAAAGCAAGUCAGAUGUGAAAACCAUGGGCUCAACCUGUGGACUGCAUUUGAAACUGUUGUUCUUGAGUACUGGAGAGGCAGACGGAAUUCCUCGUGUAGCGGUGAAAUGCGUAGAUAUGAGGAGGAACACCAGUGGCGAAGGCGGUCUGCUGGACAGCAACUGACGCUGAGGCGCGAAAGCGUGGGGAGCAAACAGGAUUAGAUACCCGAGUAGUC
rnacentral:rRNA from 1 species